GGCAACUGGCCUUGCGUAUUUGAAGAAGGUCAAGGGUUCAGGGGGAGGUUUGAUGCUUCUGAGACCUAGUAAGGUCUCAGAUCUGAGUUUUUGUUGUGGUUAGCAGGGUUUGAGGGCCAUGGAUGGUAAGGUUGGGGAGAGGGAUGGAAGGGGAUUGUCUGAGGCCAGUUUGGCCGGAAUUCGGUGGGAUUUAGGUUUUAGGGUAGACUUUAAAUCGAUAUUGAGCCGCUUCACUUUGAUUCGAAGGGUGUGACAUGAAUGGGGUUGGAAAGAGGAAGAUGAGGUGGUUCAGGGGUGUAACUUUGGACGGGUUUGGAGUUGGUUCGACGGAGACGGUGGUUCCGACGACCCUUCUUUUGAAUAUUCGAGAUGGUGGAGAGUUUUUCGAAGGAAACUGAUUGCAGGAUGGGGAAGAGGAGGUAAUUGUGGUCCUAUGGUGUAAAUUUGGGGCGGUUUGGUGACUGGAUGCCACCGUGAGGCGAUUUUCGGCGGCGUUAUUAAGGUGGUUGCUGGGUGGCCAAGGGCGGAGACGGGGAGGCGUUACAGCGGUGUGUUUGCUACGAGGAAGGUGACGAGUU
rnacentral:lncRNA from 1 species